GAUGAAGAACGUAGCGAAAUGCGAUAAGUAGUGUGAAUUGCAGAAUUCAGUGAAUCAUCGAAUCUCUGAACGCACAUUGCGCCCCAUGGUAUUCCGUGGGGCAUGCCUGUUCGAGCGUCAUUUACCCCCUCAAGCUCCGCUUGGUGUUGGGCGUCUGUCCCGCUUCGCGCGCGGACUCGCCCCAAAGGUAUUGGCAGCGGUCGUGCCAGCUUCUCGCGCAGCACAUUGCGCUUCUCGAGGCACCGGUGGGCCCGCGUCCAUCAAGCUCACCCCCCCAGUUUGACCUCGGAUCAGGUAGGGAUACCCGCUGAACUUAAGCAUAUCAAUAAGCGGAGGA
rnacentral:misc_RNA from 1 species